rnacentral:ncRNA from 2 species
UUUUUAUCAAGAAUGAGGGAGAGAGUCAGCUCGACGAACUCAUACCAACCUGCUUGGAAGCAAGGUGGUAAUGCUGGCAACGAUAAGAA